AUGCGGAGGCCUCCGGGCCAAGGAUGUGUGACUGAGCGGCGGACGGGUGAGUAACGCGUGGGUAACCUGCCCUAUACAGGGGGAUAACAGCUAGAAAUGGCUGCUAAUACCGCAUGAGCGCACAGCUCCGCAUGGAGCGGUGUGAAAAACUCCGGUGGUAUAGGAUGGACCCGCGUCCGAUUAGCUAGUUGGUGGGGUAAAGGCCCACCAAGGCGACGAUCGGUAGCCGACCUGAGAGGGUGACCGGCCACAUUGGGACUGAGACACGGCCCAAACUCCUACGGGAGGCAGCAGUGGGGGAUAUUGCACAAUGGGGGGAACCCUGAUGCAGCGACGCCGCGUGAGUGAAGAAGUAUCUCGGUAUGUAAAGCUCUAUCAGCAGGGAAGAAGCAAGACGGUACCUGACUAAGAAGCCCCGGCUAACUACGUGCCAGCAGCCGCGGUAAUACGUAGGGGGCGAGCGUUAUCCGGAUUUACUGGGUGUAAAGGGAGCGUAGACGGCAUGGCAAGUCUGGAGUGAAAGCCCGGGGCCCAACCCCGGGACUGCUCUGGAAACUGCCAUGCUAGAGUGCUGGAGAGGUAAGUGGAAUUCCUAGUGUAGCGGUGAAAUGCGUAGAUAUUAGGAGGAACACCAGUGGCGAAGGCGGCUUACUGGACAGUGACUGACGUUGAGGCUCGAAAGCGUGGGGAGCAAACAGGAUUAGAUACCCUGGUAGUCCACGCCGUANACGAUGGAUACUAGGUGUCGGUGGGCAAAGCCCAUCGGUGNCGCCGCAAACGCAAUAAGUAUCCCACCUGGGGAGUACGUUCGCAA
rnacentral:rRNA from 1 species